UUUGUAGUUUAUACGCUUCUCAAUGUCAGAUAGUAUUGCUUUGCGUGAAAUACGCGGACACGUGAACUCUCGUCCGUUCUCGUCAUCGCCGAAAAUUUUCAGAUAGUAACACAUAUCAUACGUUAUUUUGACGAAAAUGCGAAGCGUGACAACCACAGCGACGAGCACCUACCUUCGCGUUCGAACGCAAGGCACGCGGGUUUCUUGGGUGGCGAAACACACUGGACUCGGAAAAGCGAAAGCAUCAGAGAACCAGCGAGAACCACCCCCUACCUCUCGGAAGAGCCGUCGAAUCGUUCUCCUUUCCUCUUUUGACUUGUUAGUUAUUUUCGACCCCCGUUCUCCACCAAUCUCUUAACAUCCAAUGCCGACAACGCUCCUGGCAAACGUAGGAAACUGUUUUGCGUUUCCUGAAAUUCUCUUUUUUCGAAAUUGUUGACCAUUCUCCAACAGACUUUACUGUUGCAAUCAAACGCAUGGAUAAGGACGAUCUUCUUUUGAAAUGACGCACGUGUAUCUCGUGAUAAUAUUUUCUUCGUGUAAUUUGUUUAAUAAUAUUCGGUGUUAUACGAUUUGUUUCUUGUUCCUUUUA